rnacentral:lncRNA from 1 species
AAUUUAUAUUUGUAUAAAUAAAUUUUUUUUUACCAUACGAUAUUUUAUAUGGCGUUUUUAAAUUGAGUACAGUAAUUAAAUCACCGUGUAAAUAUCAAUAGAAUAAUUUAAUUAUAGUGUUCAACUUUUUUUUUUUUUAAGAGACUAAAUAUAAAAAAGGUCUAUAUUUAUGAAUCACUAAUAUACCAAAAUAAUAUACCUAUAUAUUACUUUCAUCUAUAUUAACUCGUGUAAACAUGAGAUAACAUAUAUUAAUAAUAAUGAAAACUUCAAAUAUCCUCGUUAUGGUUUUACUUUUUCUUACUUUAGUACCAUAUGAUUUAAAGUGCAUCAAGUUAGUACCUAUGGUUUCACGCUUUCUCACUUUAGUACUUUGUAGUUUAAAGUGUAUUGAAUUAGUAUCUUGUGGUUUCGCACUUUCUCACUUUAGUAUCAUGUAGUUUAAUAUUCAUUAAGAGAAAAAUAAAAUCACAGAGUACUAACCUGAUACAAAAAUAAAAUCACAUGAUACUAACUUGAUACAAAAAUAAAAUCACAGAAUAUUAAUUUGAUACAUUUUAAACCAUAAAAUAUUAAAAUAAGAAAGUGCAAAACCGUAUGAUACUAAUUUAAUACACUUUAAACUAUAGGGUACUAAAAUAAAAACGUACGAAAUCAUUGGAGGAGUUUUUGAAGUUUUCCCUUCAAAGUAAAUUGAAGGGCA